GUCAUAGCUCAGUGGUAGAGCAUUUGCUUUGCAUGCAGAAUGCCCAAGGUUCAAUCUCUGGCAUCUCCC